rnacentral:rRNA from 1 species
GACGAACGCUGGCGGCGUGCUUAACACAUGCAAGUCGAACGGAAAGGCCCUGCUUGCAGGGUACUCGAGUGGCGAACGGGUGAGUAACACGUGGGUGAUCUGCCCUGCACUUCGGGAUAAGCCUGGGAAACUGGGUCUAAUACCGGAUAGGAGCCAUUUUUAGUGUGAUGGUUGGAAAGUUUUUUCGGUGUAGGAUGAGCUCGCGGCCUAUCAGCUUGUUGGUGGGGUAAUGGCCUACCACGGCGGCGACGGGUAGCCGGCCUGAGAGGGUGGACGGCCACAUUGGGACUGAGAUACGGCCCAGACGCCUACGGGAGGCAGCAGUGGGGAAUAUUGCACAAUGGGCGCAAGCCUGAUGCAGCGACGCCGCGUGGGGGAUGACGGCCUUCGGGUUGUAAACUCCUUUCGCUAGGGACGAAGCUUUUGUGACGGUACCUAGAUAAGAAGCACCGGCUAACUACGUG